rnacentral:rRNA from 1 species
GACGGAGGAUGCAAGUGUUAUCCGGAAUCACUGGGCGUAAAGCGUCUGUAGGUGGUUUAAAAAGUCUACUGUUAAAGCUUGAAGCUUAACUUCAAAAAUGCCGUAGAAACUUUUAAACUUGAGUAUGGUAGGGGUAGAGGGAAUUUCCAGUGGAGCGGUGAAAUGCGUAGAUCUUGGAAAGACCGCCAAUGGCGAAGGCACUCUACUGGGCCAUAACUGACACUAAGAGACGAAAGCUAGGGGAGCAAAUGGG